CGCCUCAAUCCUGACAGGAGCCUGGCCACCUGAGGCCGGUGGUCCAUAGGACAAACCAGAACUGGACACUACAGUGACGAUGACAGACGCCUCCCGGACACUGGUCCCUGAGCUCGCCCGGCACACGUACUCGCCUGAAUCAGCCAUGGUGACAUGGGGGACACGGAGACGGGACCCUGAUACCUGGUGGCCUGCAGGCAGGGAGCCGCCGCGCCUGUACCAGGUGACGGUGACGUGGCCAGGUCCUGCCACCACACAGUCCAGGUCCAGAGUCUGUCCCUCAGUCACAGAAGGUGAUGAGGACUCGAUGCGCACAGGUGGUGCAGCUCCUGGCACCACCACCACCUCGAUGCUGGCACGGGCCGUGCCGGUGGCACUGGUGCCCACGCAGAGGUAGAUGCCACCGUCAGCAACAGUGAUGGAGGGGAUGAGCAGUGUGGCGAUGUCAGUACGCUCAGAGCGGGACUGGGGUGGCAGGGUGCCACCCUGCUUCUCCCAGGAGAUGGUGGCAGUGGGUGACCCGGACACACGGCAGUACAGUCGCACCGUUGAGCCCUCCUGCACCUCUGUCCGCUCUGGGCUAACCUGCACCCGUGGCUCAUCGGCACCUUGCACACGAAGGUAACCCCGUGCCAUGUCCUGCCCGGCGCUGCUGCGUGCGCGGCACGCGUAGUGCCCCUCAUCAGAUGGCUCGACGGCACUGAACCGCAGUGUGUCACCCUGGACAACCGCUCGUGGUGGCAGCGCACCGAGCCACUCGAGGGUGGGCGUGGGGCUGCCGGUGGCCACGCAGCGGAACUCGGCUGGCUGCCCCACCACCACGCUCAGCUGCGCUGGCUCCACGCUGGCGGUGGGGGCAGUGGCAGUGGCAGCCGGUCUGUGCCCCUCCAUAAACUCAACAGGUCCGUAAUACAUCUGGGUCUUCGAGGGGGCCUGGACAUAGAGUGUGGCUGUGCCCUCGUCCAUGUCCAGCAUGUUGGAGCCAGUGCAUACAUAAACACCAGCAUCCUCAGGCUGCACGUUGCGGAUGGUGAGGAUGCCGUUGAAGUCCAUGGCGCGCGAUGGCAGCGUCCCGUGGUUCUGCCGUGUCCACACCAGGGUGUAGGCAGGGGACUUGCUCUUGGCUGUGCAGAUGAAGGUGACGUCAGCCCCAGGCUUCACUCUCUGCACCCUCUUCUCCUCCACAGUAACAGUGAUGGGCUUGGUGGGGGUCUCGGUGACGAUGACCUCGGCGCGGCUGGUGUUGCUGUGCUGCAGGUUGCGGCAGGAGCAGACAUAGACACCAGCCUCGGAGGGUUGGAUGUUGGCGAAGUGCAGCUCCUUGCCUUGCCGCCGGCUCUGGGCACUGCUGGGCAGGGGCCGCCCAUCCUCCCGGGACCAGUGGUAAUACAGGGGGGGUUCCCCGCUGGCUUGGCACCGCAGUGUGACCGCACUGCCCUGUGGCACUGCCGUGCGCGGUGGGUGGACACGGACAGCAAGCAGGGACGGCGAACCCAGUGGGACACAGGUCUGGCCCCUCACACUGGGGUCCCCUGUGUAGCCUGGAGCACACCGCUCGCAGUACUGCCCGGCGUAUCCUGGCGCGCAGGCAGUGCAGCGGUACCCACCACCUCCCAGGCUCUCACAGGUCCUCGAGAACUGGUUCUCCGGGUGCAGCAGUGGGCAGGCGCAGGGCUGGCAGUCCUCAGGUGUGCCAGCAGUGGCAUCCCCGUAGAAGCCAGGCGCACACUGGUCGCAGAAAUCCCC
rnacentral:lncRNA from 1 species